rnacentral:rRNA from 1 species
UACAUGGGGUGCAAACGUUGCUCGGAAUUACUGGGCGUAAAGGGCGCGUAGGCGGCCCGAGCAAGUCGGGAGUGAAAGCCCGGGGCUCAACCCCGGAACGGCUCACGAAACUGCGGGGCUCGAGUGCGGAAGAGGCAAUCGGAAUUCCCAGUGUAGCGGUGAAAUGCGUAGAUAUUGGGAAGAACACCGGAGGCGAAGGCGGAUUGCUGGGCCGACACUGACGCUGAGGCGCGAAAGCCAGGGGAGCAAACGGG